rnacentral:rRNA from 1 species
GACGAACGCUGGCGGCGUGCUUAACACAUACAAGUCGAGCGAUGAAGUUUCUUCGGAAAUGGAUUAGCGGCGAACGGGUGAGGAACACGUGAAGAAUCUGCCCUCCACUUUGGGAUAACACCGGGAAACCGGUGCUAAUACCGAAUAUUGAAACAUAAGUGGCAUCACUGAGUUUUGAAAGAAUUUCGGUGGAGGAUGACUUCGCGGCCUAUCAGCUAGUUGGUGAGGUAAUGGCUCACCAAGGCAACGACGGGUAGCCGGCCUGAGAGGGCGACCGGCCACACUGGGACUGAGACACGGCCCAGACUCCUACGGGAGGCAGCAGUGGGGAAUAUUGGGCAAUGGAGGAAACUCUGACCCAGCGACGCCGCGUGCGGGAUGAAGGCCUUCGGGUUGUAAACCGCUUUCAGUAGGGAAGAAGCGAAAGUGACGGUACCUACAAAAGAAGCACCGGCUAACUAUGUGCCAGCAGCCGCGGUAAUACAUAGGGUGCAAGCGUUGUCCGGAAUUAUUGGGCGUAAAGAGCUCGUAGGUCGUUUGUUACGUCGGAUGUGAAAACCUGAGGCUCAACCUCAGGCCUGCAUUCGAUACGGGCAAACUAGAGUUUGGUAGGGGAGACUGGAAUUCCUGGUGUAGCGGUGGAAUGCGCAGAUAUCAGGAGGAACACCAAUGGCGAAGGCAGGUCUCUGGGCCAAUACUGACACUGAGGAGCGAAAGUCUGGGGAGCAAACAGGAUUAGAUACCCUGGUAGUCCAGACCGUAAACGGUGGGCACUAGUUGUGGGAACCUUCCACGGUUUCUGCGACGCAGCUAACGCAUUAAGUGCCCCGCCUGGGGAGUACGAUCGCAAGAUUA